AAGGUGGGGCGAUCUGUCGCGCCGUGAGUUUCGGCUCCCGGUGAGGAAAGUCCGGACAGGAAAGGGCACCCUGCUGAGGAAAGCUCAGAUGGGAGUGAUCUUAUAGCACCGUAACAGAAAACAACCGCCGUAAGGUAAGGGUGAAAACGCGAGGUAAGAGCUCACGACAUGCGUCGGCGACGCUGCAUGGGUACGGUGCCAGGGCCUGCAAGACCAAAUAUACUGGCAGAUGAGGGCUGCCCGUCCGAUGCCAGGGGGUAGGUUGCGAAGAUAAAUGACAGAUUUAAAAACAGAAACCGGCUUACGGCCCCUCCUUUUUA
rnacentral:RNase_P_RNA from 1 species